rnacentral:pre_miRNA from 1 species
UAAGUACUCCCUCCGUCCGGAAAUACUUGUCAUCAAAAUGGAGAAAAAAGGACGUAUCUAGAACUAAAAUAUGUCUAGAUACAUCUUCUUUUAUCCAUUUUGAUGACGAGUAUUUCCGGACGGAGGGAGUAGUUG